rnacentral:misc_RNA from 1 species
AGCAGCCGCGGUAAUUCCAGCUCCAAUAGCGUAUAUUAAAGUUGUUGCAGUUAAAAGCUCGUAGUUGAAUUUCGGGAUCAAUAUGUUGGUCGUGCCUCGGUACGUACUAGCAUAUUGGUUUCUCCUUUCUGAAGAACCAUGAUGUCAUUUAUUUGGUGUCGUGGGGAAUCAGGACUGUUACUUUGAAAAAUUAGAGUGUUUAAAGCAGGCUCACGCUUGAAUACAUUAGCAUGGAAUAAUGAAAUAGGACGUUUGAUUCUAUUUUGUUGGUUUCUAGGAUCGACGUAAUGAUUAAUAGGGAUAGUUGGGGGCAUUAGUAUUCAAUUGUCAGAGGUGAAAUUCUUGGAUUUAUUGAAGACUAACUACUGCGAAAGCAUUUGCCAAGGAUGUUUUCAUUAAUCAAGAACGAAAGUUAGGGGAUCGAAGACGAUCAGAUACCGUCGUAGUCUUAACCAUAAACUAUGCCGACUAGGGAUCGGAUGAUGUUAAUUUUUUAAUUGACUCAUUC